AAAUUGAAGAGUUUGAUCAUGGCUCAGAUUGAACGCUGGCGGCAGGCCUAACACAUGCAAGUCGAACGGUAACAGGAAGCAGCUUGCUGCUUCGCUGACGAGUGGCGGACGGGUGAGUAAUGUCUGGGAAACUGCCUGAUGGAGGGGGAUAACUACUGGAAACGGUGGCUAAUACCGCAUAACGUCGCAAGACCAAAGAGGGGGACCUUCGGGCCUCUUGCCAUCAGAUGUGUCCAGAUGGGAUUAGCU
rnacentral:rRNA from 1 species